UUCAUUAAAGGAAUCCUGUGGAACUUAUGUUCAGAUGAAGCUCUUGGUAGAUUAGUAAUCAGUUUGGGCUGCCUGAUCUCAGUGUAUCCCCAAUGUCUGAACAGAUAAAUUGCGAUACAAAUGACAAAAAUUAUUAAAUCAAGCAUCCAUGUUUGUUGAAAUCAAGCAUGCAAUUUAUCAAAUCAAGCGUACAGAUGACAAUUUUUUUAUUACCUGGGAGUUUCAGCUCAAGACAAUUCCGCAGGAGCCAUCGAUUUCUCAAAUUCGAUGUGGAGAGAUCGAUCAGGAUGAUGAGUUGCCUGCACACUAAAGAAAGGUAAUAUGUCCAUCUUGGAUAAUGCAGCUGAGACAUCAAUUGUAGACAAGUAAAAGAAAAUAGCAAGUAUGAAUCUUGCAGAUCGAAGACCACUGGAGGCUAGAAUGAUUCAAAAAUACAAUGAAAACCCUAACCAUCGAAAACACAACAAAACGAAAAAAAGAACAUCCCAGUCGAAAACACAACGAAGGACAAACAUAAUAACCUAAAGAACCCCAGAGAAUCAAGAACAACCUAACGAAAGCACAAUUAAUCAAGAACGAAACAACAAUGAACUUUGAACGAAAAAACAAUGAACCCUAAUCGGGAGAAUGAAAACACAAUGAACCCAAAACGAAAACACAAUGAACCCAAACCGAAAACGCGGACGAAAACAACAUAGGCACACAAGAAGGACGAACAGAAAACGCAGACGAAAACAGAACGAAUGACAAACAUUACAACCCAAUCGAAAACACAGAGAAACCAAUCGAAACCACAACGAAAACAAACGAACAUUCCAAUUGGAAGAACGAAAACACGAGAAAACCAAUCGAAAUCAUAACGUAUCGAACAGAACAUUCCAAUCGGAAGAACGAAAACCCUACUUAUCCAAAAAUCGGCGGAGAAAACAAAGCUCUAUGCCUAGAAACCUAAUCGAAAACACAGAGAAACCAAACAACGAAAACAAACAGAACAUUCCAAUCGGAAGAACGAAAACACGAGAAAACCAAUCGAAAUUACAAUGUAUCGAACAAAACAUUCCAAUCGGAAGAACGAAAACCCUACUUACCCAAAAAUCGACGGAGAAAACAAAACUCUAUACCU
rnacentral:lncRNA from 1 species